GAUGAAGAACGUAGCGAAAUGCGAUAAGUAGUGUGAAUUGCAGAAUUCAGUGAAUCAUCGAAUCUUUGAACGCACAUUGCGCCCCUUGGUAUCCCGAGGGGCAUGCCUGUUCGAGCGUCAUUUCACCACUCAAGCCUGGCUUGGUGUUGGGCGACGUCCCCUUUGGGGACGCGCCUCGAAACGCUCGGCGGCGUGGCACCGGCUUUAAGCGUAGCAGAAUCUUUCGCUUUGGAAGUCGGGGCCCCGUCUGCCGGAAGACCUACUCGCAAGGUUGACCUCGGAUCAGGCAGGGAUACCCGCUGAACUUAAGCAUAUCAGCGGAGGA
rnacentral:misc_RNA from 1 species